UCCCUAGUACGGCGAGUGAAGCGGGAAGAGCUCAAAUUUGAAAUCUGGCAGUCUUCGAUUGUCCGAGUUGUAAUCUAUAGAGGCGUUUUCCGUGCCGGACCGUGUCCAAGUCUCCUGGAAAGGAGUAUCAAAGAGGGUGAUAAUCCCGUACUUAACACGACCACCGGUGCUCUGUGAUACGUCUUCUACGAGUCGAGUUGUUUGGGAAUGCAGCUCAAAAUGGGUGGUGAAUUCCAUCUAAAGCUAAAUAUUGGCGAGAGACCGAUAGCGAACAAGUACCGUGAGGGAAAGAUGAAAAGCACUUUGGAAAGAGAGUUAAACAGUACGUGAAAUUGUUGAAAGGGAAACGAUUGAAGUCAGUCGUGUUCUUUGGAUUCAGCCAGUUCUGCUGGUCUACUUCCUUUGAACGGGUCAACAUCAGUUUUGUCCGGUGGAUAAAGGCAGUAGGAAUGUAGCUUCUCCGGAAGUGUUAUAGCCUAUUGUCACAUACACUGGGUGAGACUGAGGACUGCAGCUCGCCUUUAUGGCCGACCUUCGGGUACGUUCGAGCUUAGGAUGUUGACAUAAUGGCUUUAAACGACCCGUCUUGACC
rnacentral:rRNA from 1 species